rnacentral:rRNA from 1 species
GAUGAACGCUGGCGGCGUGCCUAAUACAUGCAAGUCGAGCGAACAGACGAGGAGCUUGCUCCUCUGACGUUAGCGGCGGACGGGUGAGUAACACGUGGAUAACCUACCUAUAAGACUGGGAUAACUUCGGGAAACCGGAUCUAAUACCGGAUAAUAUAUUGAACCGCAUGGUUCAAUAGUGAAAGACGGUUUUGCUGUCACUUAUAGAUGGAUCCGCGCCGCAUUAGCUAGUUGGUAAGGUAACGGCUUACCAAGGCAACGAUGCGUAGCCGACCUGAGAGGGUGAUCGGCCACACUGGAACUGAGACACGGUCCAGACUCCUACGGGAGGCAGCAGUAGGGAAUCUUCGGCAAUGGGCGAAAGCCUGACGGAGCAACGCCGCGUGAGUGAUGAAGGUCUUCGGAUCGUAAAACUCUGUUAUUAGGGAAGAACAAAUGUGUAAGUAAAUAUGCACGUCUUGACGGUACCUAAUCAGAAAGCAACGGCUAACUACGUG